rnacentral:rRNA from 1 species
AUAUAGGCCAGAGACCGAUAGCGCACAAGUAGAGUGAUCGAAAGAUGAAAAGCACUUUGAAAAGAGGGUUAAAAAGCACGUGAAAUUGUUGAAAGGGAAGCGCCUGUGACCAGACUCGCGCCCGGCGGAUCAUCCGGCGUUCUCGCCGGUGCACUCCGCCGGGCUCGGGCCAGCAUCGGUUCUGGUGGGGGGAUAAAGGCGGCGGGGAUGUGGCUCCCCCGGGAGUGUUAUAGCCCGCCGCUCAAUGCCCUCGCCGGGACCGAGGACCGCGCAUUUGCAAGGAUGCUGGCGUAAUGGUCACCAGCGACCCGUCUUGAAACACGGACC